AACAGAGCCUUUUAUCCUCAAAUUUGCCAACACAUUGAGGGGCAGUAACUGAAACAAGAAAAGGAGUUAGGCAAACAAAGGAGGCACAAGAAACUUCUGUGUUGUAACUUCUUUUCUUUCUACAAGGGAACAGUUUUGGACCAUCCCCAUGUAGAGGAUGAUACAGAUAACAAACUCUCUGGUGCUGCCCUGAUUAGUUUCACUGGAAAAUACCUUUGGUUGUAUGAGUGAGGAAGAAGAAUGUGAGUCUGGACUAUGCAAGAGCUUUGAAUUUAUUUAUCUA
rnacentral:lncRNA from 1 species